ACGAACGCUGGCGGCGUGCUUAACACAUGCAAGUCGAACGGAAAGGCCCUGCUUUUGUGGGGUGCUCGAGUGGCGAACGGGUGAGUAACACGUGAGUAACCUGCCCUUGACUUUGGGAUAACUUCAGGAAACUGGGGCUAAUACCGGAUAGGAGCUCCUGCUGCAGGGUGGGGGUUGGAAAGUUUCGGCGGUUGGGGAUGGACUGGCGGCUUAUCAGCUUGUUGGUGGGGUAGUGGCUUACCAAGGCUUUGACGGGUAGCCGGCCUGAGAGGGUGACCGGGGACAUUGGGACUGAGAUACGGCCCAGACUCCUACGGGAGGCAGCAGUGGGGAAUAUUGCGCAAUGAGCGGACGCCUGAUGCAGCAGCGCCGCGUGCGGGAUGACGGCCUUCGGGUUGUAAACCGCUUUCGCCUGUGACGAAGCGUGAGUGACGGUAAUGGGUAAAGAAGCACCGGCUAACUACGUG
rnacentral:rRNA from 1 species